UACGGAGGGGGCUAGCGUUGUUCGGAAUUACUGGGCGUAAAGCGCCCGUAGGCGGCUUUGUCAGUUAGAGGUGAAAGCCCAGGGCUUAACCCUGGAAUUGCCUUUAAGACUGCAUCGCUAGAAUUGUGGAGAGGUAAGUGGAAUUCCGAGUGUAGAGGUGAAAUUCGUAGAUAUUCGGAAGAACACCAGUGGCGAAGGCGACUUACUGGACACAUAUUGACGCUGAGGUGCGAAAGCGUGGGGAGCAAACGGG
rnacentral:rRNA from 1 species